rnacentral:rRNA from 1 species
AAUAUUGGACAAUGGGGGCAACCCUGAUCCAGCUAUGCCGCGUGUGUGAAGAAGGUCUUCGGAUUGUAAAGCACUUUAAGUUGGGAGGAAGGGCUUUAGGUUAAUACCCUGAAGUUUUUCAGUUUCCAACAGACUAAGCCACUGCUAACUCUGUGUCAUCAGCCGCGGUAAUACAGAGGGUGCAAGAGUUAAUCGGAAUUACCGGGCGUAAAGCGCGCGCAAGUGGUUCAGUAAGAUGGGUGUGAAAUCCCCGGGCUUAACCUGGGGACUGCUUUCAUAACUGCUGAGCUAGAGUACGGUAGAGGGUAGUUGAAUUUCCUGUGUAGCGGUGAAAUGCGUAGAUAUAGGAAGGAACACCAGUGGCGAAGGCGACUACCUGGACUGAUACUGACACUGAGGUGCGAAAGCGUGGGGAGCAAAC